AUGAACGCUGGCGGCGUGCCUAAUACAUGCAAGUCGAGCGAACGGACGAGAAGCUUGCUUUUCUGAUGUUAGCGGCGGACGGGUGAGUAACACGUGGAUAACCUACCUAUAAGACUGGGAUAACUUCGGGAAACCGGAGCUAAUACCGGAUAAUAUUUUGAACCGCAUGGUUCAAAAGUGAAAGACGGUCUUGCUGUCACUUAUAGAUGGAUCCGCGCUGCAUUAGCUAGUUGGUAAGGUAACGGCUUACCAAGGCAACGAUGCAUAGCCGACCUGAGAGGGUGUUCGGCCACACUGGAACUGAGACACGGUCCAGACUCCUACGGGAGGCAGCAGUAGGGAAUCUUCCGCAAUGGGCGAAAGCCUGACGGAGCAACGCCGCGUGAGUGAUGAAGGUCUUCGGAUCGUAAAACUCUGUUAUUAGGGAAGAACAUAUGUGUAAGUAACUGUGCACAUCUUGACGGUACCUAAUCAGAAAGCCACGGCUAACUACGUG
rnacentral:rRNA from 1 species